CAGAGACGGGCAAGCACUCAGAAGAAUUUCGUUUGCCUUGAUCCUGGAGGCGCGCGGCCGUCUCCCGCUGCCGAGGAUUUGACGCGAACUCGUAAGUGACAUUCUAUUUCCUCGGUGUAUCGCAUGGUGAGUUUUGUCUGGCGACAAAAUCAAAUUUUAUUUGCACAAUCGAUGCGUCAAUCUGGUCGUCUCUUCUAGCUGGCAUAUCAGAAAUGUUCAGGCGAACGGCAGUUAUAUUUGUCCGUGGACCCAAUUAAGACUUCGUUGACGGGCAAAUAUGGAACGCUGCAACAAGGACUGGUGUGGAUAGCGUGCUGCGCUGGUCUCGCCAACUGAAAAGAAUUCUGGUGUGCUGUAAAUGCCGACUGCACAAUAUGUGACUGGCCCGCGGCCGCUUUGAAGUCUUUCCCGACAGAAGAACAAUGCAAGUCUCACAUCUCGAUGAGGGUGGCGAUUUACCGUCUCAUAUCUCGACGGUAAAACGUCGCAUCUGCGUGCGUGUUCAGGGCCAAGAGCACGAGAACUGGCCGAAAGAAGGGAGCCAAUCCAACAAGAAUGCCGUCCGUCCUAUAUAUAUGUCAGCGCUAUCAUGCAGCGAUCACAUGGACUGUACGGUUGCGUUGCACAAGGCCUGAUGCAAACGCUCCGUGCGAACAAUGUUGCAUGUAAAAUUAGUGCACCUAUGCAAUUGCAAAAUAAGCAUCUAA